GAUGAACGCUGGCGGCGUGCCUAAUACAUGCAAGUCGAGCGAACGGACGAGAAGCUUGCUUCUCUAAUGUUAGCGGCGGACGGGUGAGUAACACGUGGAUAACCUACCUAUACGACUGGGAUAACUUCGGGAAACCGGAGCUAAUACCGGAUAAUAUUUUGCACCUCAUUGUUCAAAAGUGAAAGACGGUCUUUCUUUCACUUAUAGAUUGAUCCGCGCUUCAUUAGAUAGUUGGUAAGGUAACGGCUUACCAAGGCUACGAUGCAUAGCCGACCUGAGAGGGUGGUCGGCCACACUGGAACUGAGAAAGGGGCGAGACUCCGACGGGAGGAAGCAGUAGGGAAUCUUCCGCAAGGGGCGAAAGCCUGAUGGAGCAACGCCGCGGGAGUGAUGAAGGAAUUCGGAUCGGAAAACUAUGUUAUUAGGGAAGAACAUAUGUGUAAGUAACUGUGCAGAUAUUGACGGUACCUAAUCAGAAAGCCACGGCUAACUACGUG
rnacentral:rRNA from 1 species